rnacentral:rRNA from 1 species
GACGAACGCUGGCGGCGUGCCUAAUACAUGCAAGUCGAACGAACGGAUUGAGGAGCUUGCUCUUCAUGAAGUUAGUGGCGGACGGGUGAGUAACACGUGGGUAACCUGCCCUUCAGUGGGGGAUAACAUCCGGAAACGGGUGCUAAUACCGCAUAGUUUCUUUUUCCGCCUGGACGAAGAAAGAAAGACGGCUUUGCUGUCGCUUAUAGAUGAUCCCGCGGCGUAUUAGUUAGUUGGUGGGGUAAAGGCCUACCAAGACAAUGAUACGUAGCCGACCUGAGAGGGUGAUCGGCCACACUGGGACUGAGACACGGCCCAG